GUUGUAGCCUAUUAUAUGCUGUUGUUACAGUGUUCUUAUUUUGAAGUAAGGUCAAUUAGCCAACUUUAGAUAGGCCUAUAUACUGUAUAAUAUGUUGAUGAUAAUACUAGUUUAAUGGUUUGUUAUCCCAGGUGGCUAGAUAGGCCUAUAUACUGUAUAAUAUGUUGAUGAUAAUACUAGUUUAAUGGUUUGUUAUCCCAGGUGGCUAGAUAGGCCUAUAUACUGUAUAAUAUGUUGAUGAUAAUACUAGUUUAAUGGUUUGUUAUCCCAGGUGGCUAGAUAGGCCUAUAUACUGUAUAAUAUGUUGAUGAUAAUACUAGUUUAAUGGUUUGUUAUCCCAGGUGGCUAGAUAGGCCUAUAUACUGUAUAAUAUGUUGAUGAUAAUACUAGUUUAAUGGUUUGUUAUCCCAGGUGGCUAGAUAGGCCUAUAUACUGUAUAAUAUGUUGAUGAUAAUACUAGUUUAAUGGUUUGUUAUCCCAGGUGGCUAGAUAGGCCUAUAUACUGUAUAAUAUGUUGAUGAUAAUACUAGUUUAAUGGUUUGUUAUCCCAGGUGGCUAGAUAGGCCUAUAUACUGUAUAAUAUGUUGAUGAUAAUACUAGUUUAAUGGUUUGUUAUCCCAGGUGGCUAGAUAGGCCUAUAUACUGUAUAAUAUGUUGAUGAUAAUACUAGUUUAAUGGUUUGUUAUCCCAGGUGGCUAGAUAGACCUAUAUACUGUAUAAUAUGUUGAUGAUAAUACUAGUUUAAUGGUUUGUUAUCCCAGGUGGCUAGAUAGACCUAUAUACUGUAUAAUAUGUUGAUGAUAAUACUAGUUUAAUGGUUUGUUAUCCCAGGUGGCUAGAUAGGCCUAUAUACUGUAUAAUAUGUUGAUGAUAAUACUAGUUUAAUGGUUUGUUAUCCCAGGUGGCUAGAUAGACCUAUAUACUGUAUAAUAUGUUGAUGAUAAUACUAGUUUAAUGGUUUGUUAUCCCAGGUGGCUAGAUAGGCCUAUAUACUGUAUAAUAUGUUGAUGAUAAUACUAGUUUAAUGGUUUGUUAUCCCAGGUGGCUAGAUAGACCUAUAUACUGUAUAAUAUGUUGAUGAUAACACUAGUUUAAUGGUUUGUUAUCCCAGGUGGCUAGAUAGGCCUAUAUACUGUAUAAUAUGUUGAUGAUAAUACUAGUUUAAUGGUUUGUUAUCCCAGGUGGCUAGAUAGACCUAUAUACUGUAUAAUAUGUUGAUGAUAACACUAGU